rnacentral:tRNA from 1 species
GGUGAUUGUAGCUCAGUUGGUUAGAGCGCUGGUUUGUGGCACCAGAGGUCGCCGGUUCGAGCCCGGUCUUUCACCC